UAGUCUGGUGCCAGCAGCCGCGGUAAUUCCAGCUCCAAUAGCGUAUAUUUAAGUUGUUGCAGUUAAAAAGCUCGUAGUUGGAUUUCGGGUAGGGGGCGCCGGUCCGCUUCGGUGUGCACUGGCGGCCCAUACCUUCUUGUCGGGGAUGCGCUCUGGUAUUGGUUUAUCGGACGCAGAGUCGGCGCUGUUACUUUGAAAAAAUUAGAGUGUUCAAAGCAGGCUUUCGCUUGAAUACAUUAGCAUGGAAUAACAUGAUAGGACUCCGGUUCCAUUGUGUUGGUCUUCGGGACUGGAGUAAUGAUUAAGAGGGACAGUUGGGGGCAUUCGUAUUUCAUUGUCAGAGGUGAAAUUCUUGGAUUUAUGAAAGACGAACUUCUGCGAAAGCAUUUGCCAAGGAUGUUUUCAUUAAUCAAGAACGAAAGUUGGGGGCUCGAAGAUGAUUAGAUACCAUCGUAGUCUCAACCAUAAACGAUGCCGACUAGGGAUUGGCGGAUGUUACUUGACGACUUCGCCAGCACCUUGUGAGAAAUCAAAGUCUUUGGGUUCCGGGGGGAGUAUGGUCGCAAGGCUGAAACUUAAAGGAAUUGACGGAAGGGCACCACCAUGGCGUGGAGCCUGCGGCUUAAUUUGACUCAACACGGGGAAACCUACCAGGUCCAGACACAAUAAUGAUUGACAGAUUGAUAGCUCUUUCUUGAUUCUGUGGGUGGUGGUGCAUGGCCGUUCUU
rnacentral:rRNA from 1 species